rnacentral:lncRNA from 10 species
AUGAUCCAGAUAGGACUUCCAGAUCCAGAUUACACUCAGCUCAGCCGUAGAGACCUAGAGACCAUGGGCUACCCUCUGAAUGCCUCUCUUCAGCGGCAAGGAUCUGGUUCCUGGAAAACGGGAGUCACACUGAUUCACACCUUCAAGCAAUUCCCACUGCCUUGUGGAGCGAAUGUUAACAUCCUUCCAAUUCCAGUCAAUGCUGACCUCACUCCAGAAGUCUUUCCUGAGAGUGAUUGAAACCUGUCCUUCCUCAGUAGCUGGAAGAACUAGCUGAGAUGCCACAUUAUGACAAUGACCUGCAACUCUGCUUAUGUGGAAGGCUGGCAUAAAGAAAAUAGUGAGCAGUUUUUAAAUACACAGUACAGCACCAAGUGAGUGACAAUCUCCUAAUACUAACAAGGAUAAUAUAAAAGAGGAGUCAAGCUAACCAGGUCGGAAUCCUAACUCUGACUUUUUCCUUGUGGUAUGACUCCAGACAAAUGACUGAACCUUCCUGAGCUUCAAUUUCUUAGCUAUAAAAUAACACUACUAUUUCCUACCUUUAAAAAUGGUGGCUAGGAUUAAAAGAAAUACCUCUGUGCCUAACAUGUAGUCAAAUGAAGGGAAACAGACUUGCUGAAAAAAAUAUAUUAUUUGCCCAGACAAAAGCAUACACAAAUGAACACAAUUAAUUAUCAUUCUUGAAGUGGAAAAAAAGAAUGAGUCAUAGCACAACCCGUUCAAAGGUCCUUGUGAAAACAGCUGUAAUUGAAGUCAUUGGAUAGCUCCUUAUUUGUCACAUCAAGACUUUUUAAAAAAGAAUAAUAUUUUCAUUUGAAGAAAGAUUGCACAUUUAAAUCACACAAUCAGAAUACCACUGCCUGCUUGUAAAUUAUCUAGUAAUGAUUUGUCCUUCUUUUUUCCACGUUAAUACUAUUCAAAUAGUAUUCAUACCAAUUUUUAUUCUCACAACCUGAUUGUUUGCCCCAACUACCUUCCAACCUGUGGUAGUGGAUUGAUUCACUCAACUUUAUUCCCACUCCUUGCAGCAUAAUUUUACACAGGCCAAAGGCUAAAGCAAUACUCUUUUGUAGCUUGGCUUCUGAACAUAAUCGAGCUUUCACUGAACAGGGGACUUGGGAAAAAUGUGAAAGGGAGACAUCAAUGUCACAGGAUAGCAGGCACGAUUCUGCUGCAUUUGCUAUUUCCGCUGACAAGUGCCUUUGUGGAGGUUUUGGGUAGCAGCCAUAGCAGUGGUUCAAGUGCUCAUCCUCUAAACUCAUGGGUGUCAAGGUGUGAAAACCUGGGCAUCUAUUCUGCUGGCUCAGAUCACACAGUCCAAGGCGUUGUCUUGGCAGUUGUUGUGCUGGUCCCUCCUGAACCCCCAGUAUUCAGAUCAUGCCAGAGACCGCAGUUCUUAUGUAGACUUUGUAUGAGUGCUCUAGGAAUGGUUUCUUGAAGCUCAGUUUAGAAUCUGUUCCCCCAGAUUCCCUACCUUUUCCAACUAUUUUGUAACUGAAAUCUGAUUAAUAUUCCAUUAAAAAUCAAAAUCAUUCAAGGAUGGUAUUCCUUUGUCCCCUGAAACUUUUGUAAAUGUUUGACUAUGUUAGAAAUUGUAUGGGAAAGUAUUUUUUUAAAUACAUAUUUAGCUGGCUUAAUUUUGAUUGACAAAUUAUUUUCAGAAUAAUUCUUUCCAUAUAGCAUACUUCUCUUUUGAUAACGAAUGUUGACAUAUUACAUGGAUAGUGAACAAUUUUGAAGAAACAAAUUUUUGAUAAGAAUAUAUAUAUGUUUAAAAAUUCAGCUUUUAUUUUAGAUUCAAGGUAUGGAUGUACAGGUUUGUUUUGUGACAUGGGUAUAUUACAUGAUGCUGAGGUUUGCAGUAAGAUUGAUCCCAUCACCCAGGUAGUGAGAAUAGUACCCAACAGGAAUUUUUUUAGCCUUUGCUCCCUGAGUUUUAUACAUUGGUUUUGUAUCCUGAAACUUUACUGGAGUUAUUUGUUGAUACUAGAAGCUUUUUAGUGGAAUUUUUAGGGUUUUCUAGGUAUAGAAUCAUAUGAGCAAAGAGAUAAUUUGAUUUCUUUUCCUAAUGGAUGCUUUUUAUUUCUUUAUCUUGCCUGAUUGCUCUGGAUAGGACUUCCAGUAUUAUGUUGAAUAGGACUGGUGGAGUGGGCAUCCUUCUCUUAUUCCAAUUCUCAAGGGGAAUGCUUCCAGCUUUUGCCCAUUCAGUAUGAUGUUCGCUGUGCAUUUGUGACAGAUGGUGCUUAUUAUUUGGAAGUAUGUUCCUUUGAUGCCUAGUUUUUUGAUGGUUUUUAUCAUGAA